ACCCAGGUUUUAUUUAAAACCACUAGGAUUCUUUAAAAUUGAAUA
rfam:Monodelphis domestica chromosome 5, whole genome shotgun sequence.